rnacentral:tRNA from 1 species
CCAGGUGUAGUAUAGUGGUUUGAGUGUUGGAUUACAACUCUGGAGACCAGGGUUCGAUUCCCUGCUCAAGCA